rnacentral:rRNA from 1 species
UUCCCUACGGGGGGCAGCAGUGAGGAAUAUUGGUCAAUGGGCGCAAGGCUGAACCAGCCAUCCCGCGUGCAGGAAGACAGCGCUAUGCGUUGUAAACUGCUUUUCCAGGGGGAGAAACUUGCGCACGUGUUGCGCAAUUGACGGUACCCUGGGAAUAAGCAUCGGCUAACUCCGUGCCAGCAGCCGCGGUAAUACGGAGGAUGCGAGCGUUAUCCGGAUUCAUUGGGUUUAAAGGGUGCGUAGGCGGACUAUUAAGUCAGUGGUGAAAUCCUGCAGCUUAACUGCAGAACUGCCAUUGAUACUGAUAGCCUUGAGUUUGGUUAAGGUAGGCGGAAUGUGUAAUGUAGCGGUGAAAUGCUUAGAUAUUACACAGAACACCAAUUGCGUAGGCAGCUUACUGAGCCGACACUGACGCUGAGGCACGAAAGCGUGGGGAUCGAACAGGAUUAGAUACCCCAGUAGUC